UACAGAGGGGGCAAGCGUUUGUUCGGAAUUACUGGGCGUAAAGGGCGCGUAGGUGGCCUUCUAAGUUGAACGUGAAAUCCCCUCGGCUUAACCGGGGAACUGCGUCUGAUACUGGAUGGCUUGAGUGUGGGAGAGGGAUGCGGAAUUCCAGGUGUAGCGGUGAAAUGCGUAGAUAUCUGGAGGAACACCGGUGGCGAAGGCGGCAUCCUGGACCCAUUACUGACACUGAAAGCGAAAGCCAGGGGAGCAAACGGG
rnacentral:rRNA from 1 species